rnacentral:lncRNA from 1 species
UGCUAACUAGGGUAGCUGUUAUGGUCAUGGCGCUUCGGAAGGAGCUCCUGAAGCCGAUCGCAACUCAACUUCCCUAUGCAUCAUGGUAAAAGUGAUAACUGAGAUGGAAAUCCAAGAGGGAUCUCUCCCGCGUCUCAAGUCCCUGGUAUGUCUUAAUUAAAGAGGUGAGCGACGAAACAAAAAAGGAGUGGAAGUGUGACUCCGGAUUUCCCAAGCUCUUGUUUUUCACGAAGAAAGAACUGGUUGAUGAUGUUUAAAGUCUAUAGGACGUCCAUAUCAAAGAUUCUACAGAUUUUAUAUUUACUAGUCAUCAACCCGUGCAUUCGCACGGGCUAGUAUAUUCACAAUACUAACUUUGUACAAAUUUAAAUAAUGAAUAUAAUUAAGAUGAUAUUAAUUGAUGGCUUUGCAGUUACUUUACCAUUUUAUUUCAGGGCCAAAUAUUUAUUUAUUUAUUUAUGGCAUGCCACUGUUUUUCGUUUACCCGUUUGUGGCAGCACACACACCAAUGGAUUUAGAUAUUCGGUGUUAGAAUUGUUCACAGCAGGUAAACUUGCAUAUAAAAGUUAGAUUUAGUGUACUAUUUGAAAUGUGGCCGAACUCUAGGAUAUGCCAAAAACAUUAAUAUAUUUUUAUCAUGGGAAGUUUACUUGCUAUUUUCUCCAGGGGCUAAAAUAGGUGUCAUAUCCUUUGCUGAGUUUUCCGUUUAUAUCGAUCUGAUUGUUAUAUCAGUCCAUCUCAGUCUGCAUUUUCAUUCGCCUAUGUAGGUCCACUUCUUCUUGCUCGAUAGUGUGGCCAAUUCUAGAAAGCCAUUUGAAGCUCUUACUUACGGAAGAUGUUCCAGUGGAUUCCAAAUCCAAUCUCCUCUCUCUAUAUGAGCAUAAGAUUGAAUAGGAUAGUACUUUUGGAAACAAAGCUACUUUUGGAACUCUAUGUUGUUGUGUCCAUCUUUAUCAUGUUGCAAAUCAGAUGGGUGGAGGAUGUCGUUCAGUGGUGAAUAUACAUGAGUCAUCUGGGAGAAUUCUAGAAUCUUAACUGGUAUUUAUUUUCCAUAUUAUGUUUGACUCGGCAGAAGGUGGUUUGAAAUCUAUAUUUUAUGAGCAUUGUCUUUC